rnacentral:lncRNA from 1 species
GUCUGGGCGCGAGAAGGCGCUGCGUCACGUGCGGGGCCGCAGCACGGACGGAAGCGGAAGUGGCGGCGUGCGUGCGGCAGUGGAGACGGCGGCGGCGGUGGCUGGCGUCAGGCUGUGGACGAAGAGGCGGCCUCGGUGGUAAGUGGCGGCCGCUGGGACCCAGCCAGGUACCGGUCCGGCUCGGCCCUGCCCCUUUCCGGCCGCUCUCACUCCUUCCCUCGGCCUCGAGUUCCUCGUAGGCCCGUGGGGGCCGCCGCGGGGUCGGGGCUGCGAGGCAGCGCCCGCCGUUCCAUGGGCUUUGCGACCGCAGUGUCUUCCUUCUGUCCCCGGUCGUGCGCCGUGCCCCUCAGCGCGGCUCACGUUUCGGAACACGUCUGCCUUUCAUGCCUCCCGAAGAGCCUCCCCGCAUCCCGUGCCCCCUGCUCGCUGCUGCCGCUGACCCUUGGGCGCUGCGCUGGUCCAGAGCGUGUUGUCCUCUGACGCCGUCAGAACCUGAGCUCCCUGCGAGCUGGGACUCCGCCGUGUCUUCAUUGCCUCCAGUGCAAAGCAACUGCUUGCAAGAGAACAAAAGUGUGUUCAGGUGCACAGAGUAGAAAAUUCAAGGAGCCUGAAAGGGUAUUUGGUGAAGACUUGAUGUGUUUUUCCCAGUCCUAACCUCCAAGGCCCAGUUCUCCCCUGGGGCAGAGGGAAACCCGUUUCUUACGGGUCUGCAAAGAAAGUCUAUGCAGGAACAUCUACGUGCGUUUCUGCAAAAGGUCAGUUACUUUACUUGGGGCUCUUAUACUUAACGUAGCUCGGAGAGCGCCCCAUGCAUUCAGAUACAGGUGGGAUUCCUCCGGAAACGGAGUUUUAUAGCACCAGACUUUAUCCCCUUUCCUGUAGAAAUUUAGGGUUUUUGCUGUCUUUUAUAACGAACAAUGCUAGCUUGACUAUUGCUUGUACAAACCGUUUUUUGCCCAAGUCGGACUAUUUUCUUAGGUUAAAUUCCUUGGUGCAGAAGUGCGAGGGCUGUAUUUAGGCCCCUAAAGGGGUGGUACCAAAUCGCCCUCCCCCACCAGCAUAAGAGGGGGCCGGCGACACCCUUGCCCAAGCUGGAUUUUGCAGACCUGGUAGGCGUGAGAUAGUAUUUCACUGUAGCUUGUGUUUCCUGUAAGUAUAGUCGAACGUCGUGAUGUUCCUGUUACAUCUAUGUUACGUUGAUCAUUGUUACCACUGACAGUCGUUUCGAGAUUGGAAAAUAUGUUUAUUAUAAACGUUUGACUAUUUAAAAGCCAUUUGUAUUUUAUCUUCUUGGCUCAUUUUUCUGUUGGGUGGAUGGUGGUGGUUUCUAGGUGCAC